GACGAACGCUGGCGGCGUGCUUCAUACAUGCAAGUCGAACGAGAAGCUGACUUCGGUCAGUGGAAAGUGGCGGACGGGUGAGUAAUAUGUAGGAAAUUUGCCUUUAGGAGGGGGACAACAGAGGGAAACUUCUGCUAAUACCCCAUAUGAGCGUAGCUGAAAUGCUAUUCUUGAAAACUCCGGUGCCUAAAGAUGAGCCUGCAUCUGCUUAGCUAGUUGGUAGUGUAAUGGACUACCAAGGCGACGAUCAGUAGCUGGAGUGAGAGGAUGAUCAGCCACAAUGUGAGUGAGGCACGGCCCAUACACCUGCGGGAGGCAGCAGUAGGGAAGUUUGCGCAAUGGGCGAAAGCCUGACGCAGCAACGCCGCGUGAACGAUUAAGCCCUGCGGGGAGUAAAGUUCUGUCAGUAGGGACGGAACUUGACGGUACCCACAGAAGAAGCACCGGCUAACUCCGUG
rnacentral:rRNA from 1 species